rnacentral:sRNA from 1 species
CUAACAAGAGUGCCCUGUGCCCUGGGGAAUGAGAGCAAACCAAGGCAACUGUGGAUGCUGAAAUCAGAAGAGCUGAUGGAUUAGAGGGACAGACAUCACAAACAUCUGAGUUUAGUCAGGGGAAGUGGCUGAGAAGAUCAUAAAAGCUGUUCCACUUUUUAGGUUCCAAGUUGAAGAAAGGAAGAAGGAUUGAGCUGACCUCAAGGCUAAGCUUAUUCUAAAAGAUACGUACCCUGCACCAAGAUGGAUACCACAGUUCUCUGAAGAGCAGCGGGAAGCUCACUCAUGGUGUCUUUCUCUCCAUGUUCCUGGCCGUCAACUUCCUCCUCAACAGUUCCCUGGGGUGUUUUUAAAAAACAUGAUUUGAUAAACUAUUCCACUGGUUUUCCUUUAUUUUUUGCAAAAUUGCAUGAGUUACACAGUGCAGCAUUCUAGUCCAGCCUUGCAGAUGCCCUGCCUGUGUGCCAACUUGCCCUCUUUCUCUGGGAACAAUGGUCUCAAACAAGACAGCUGGUCGUAGUCUUGUGAAAGACACGGGCUGGAGUCCUAAACCCUCAGCACCUCAGAAGGUGAACUGACCGAGAGCUGGCAUCCUCACAACUUAAAGGUGGGGUCUGCUGAGGCUGAGAGGCUGUAAUACAGCACGCCUAAUAUUCCGAUAGAAGAGGAAAUAUGAAUUCCGAGGCACCGAGGGAAGACUGGGUAAAGACUCAGGAAGAUGCCAAUGUGAAAACACUGACGUGGAGUGGUAAUACCGGAAACAGAGUGCCAGAACCUGAGAAGCAAGAACUUCACUACACCUUUCGAAGGGUCCCUCCUACUGGCAUAUUAAUUUUGUUUGUCCUGCAGCUGUAGGAAUGGCUCAACAGUUAAGAGCACUUGCUCUUAUAGAGGACCCAAGUCUGUCUCCCAAUACCCACAUGGGACAUCACAUCCGUCUGUAACUCAAAGUUGUUCCAGCAGAUCCAAUGCUCUCUUCUGGACUCCAUGGGUACCAGGCACAAGGUGGUGCACAUACAUUCAUGGACGCAAACAGGCAUAUACACAAAGUAAAUACAUUGUAAAAAAUCUCUUUAUGUGUUUAGAUUCUCUAAUCAUGAGACAGUAAAUUUUGUUCUAAGAGA